rnacentral:rRNA from 1 species
GACAGCAGCCGCCGCGGGAAUACAGAGGGUGCGAGCGUUAAUCGGAUUUACUGGGCGUAAAGCGUGCGUAGGCGGCUUUUUAAGUCGGAUGUGAAAUCCCUGAGCUUAACUUAGGAAUUGCAUUCGAUACUGGGAAGCUAGAGUAUGGGAGAGGAUGGUAGAAUUCCAGGUGUAGCGGUGAAAUGCGUAGAGAUCUGGAGGAAUACCGAUGGCGAAGGCAGCCAUCUGGCCUAAUACUGACGCUGAGGUACGAAAGCAUGGGGAGCAAACAGGAUUAGAUACCCGCGUAGUCCCUGUCUCUUAUAC